UUACUUACCUGAACGGGGUCAACUCGCGAUCAAUGAGGCAAGUGGCCUAGGCUAGUGACCAUUGCACAUAUUGUUGGGGUGCUAUGCUUAAGUUCUUCCCUUGAGGAAGAGCCUACCUCCUACGUCAUUAUUUGUGGCAGCGGGGUUUACGUUCGUGCAGCCCCUAC